rnacentral:rRNA from 1 species
CAUACGCCCUACGGGGGAAAGGAGGGGACCUUCGGGCCUUUCGCGAUUGGAUGAACCUAGGUGGGAUUAGCUAGUUGGUGAGGUAAUGGCUCACCAAGGCGACGCAUCCCUAGUAUGUUCUGAGAGGAUGAUCANCCACACUGGGACUGAGACACGGCCCAGACUCCUACGGGAGGCAGCAGUGGGGAAUAUUGCACAAUGGGGGAAACCCUGAUGCAGCCAUGCCGCGUGUGUGAAGAAGGCCUUCGGGUUGUAAAGCACUUUCAGUCAGGAGGAAAGGUUAACGGUUAAUAACCGUUAGCUGUGACGUUACUGACAGAAGAAGGACCGGCUAACUCCGUGCCAGCAGCCGCGGUAAUAC